rnacentral:sRNA from 1 species
GCCGGGCGUGGUGGCACACACCUGUAAUCCCAGCAGCUUGGGAGGCUGAGGCAUUAGGAUCAUGAGUUCAGAACUAGCCUCAGCAAUGGCAAGGAGCUAAGCAACUCAGUGAGACCCUGUCUCUA